AGUUUUCCAUCCGUUAUCGAUGGCCUGAACGUUAGGCCCUUGAGGGAAUCCGGUGAAAAUCCGGAACUGUCCCGCAGCGGUAAGCAGGAACGAACGCCGUAUCGAGUGCACUGGCUCACAGAAAACGAGCUGGGAAGCAACGGCCAGUAGGAAUAGGAAGAGGUUGGUGCCUGCAAGUCCGAAGACCUGUCGAUGACCGAAUUUUCUC
rnacentral:ncRNA from 2 species